GAUGAACGCUGGCGGCGUGCCUAAUACAUGCAAGUCGAGCGAACGGACGAGAAGCUUGCUUCUCUGAUGUUAGCGGCGGACGGGUGAGUAACACGUGGAUAACCUACCUAUAAGACUGGGAUAACUUCGGGAAACCGUAGCUAAUACCGGAUAAUAUUUUGAACCGCAUGGUUCAAAAGUGAAAGACGGUCUUGCUGUCACUUAUAGAUGGAUCCGCGCUGCAUUAUCUAGUUGGUAAGGUAACGGCUUACCAAGGCAACGAUGCAUAGCCGACCUGAGAGGAUGAUCGGCCACACUGGAACUGAGACACGGUCCAGACUCCUACGGGAGGCAGCAGUAGGGAAUCUUCCGCAAUGGGCGAAAGCCUGACGGAGCAACGCCGCGUGAGUGAUGAAGGUCUUCGGAUCGUAAAACUCUGUUAUUAGGGAAGAACAUAUGUGUAAGUAACUGUGCACAUCUUGACGGUACCUAAUCAGAAAGCCCCGGCUAACUACGUG
rnacentral:rRNA from 1 species